rnacentral:lncRNA from 1 species
CAUCAACCAUGAUUCUUUAUUCUUCUUCUCUUCCAAUCGUCAGCUCUCCCUCGGUGGUUCUUCCUUUACAGGCCUCCACCACAAAACGGCUAACCCUACCUCUUCAAGUUGAUUCAAUUGAAUCGAUAAGUUUACACAAACAAGGCCAGGAUCCUGACUGAUCAUUCACAAUAUCUCACCAAAAUUAGCAACACGUACAGCUAGUAUACAAUAAAUAAUACAAUGUACAGAAACCCACCACCAGGAUUGGAUUAAUCUUCAUGCUUUUUUCUUCAACUGCCGGGAUCAACAGUCGAGACUUUGGAGUGAUGGGUAUUUGGGACAAAUGUCAACAAAUUAAGACAAAAGUUUUCCUCAUUCAUAAAGAGGCAGCUAUAAGAUCAACGGACCUCAGGGGUAGAGAUGUACUUUCCCUCCAAGUCUUGGUCAACUGUCCUCCUCCUUCCUCAGCAAUUGUGAGUGAG